UCUCCGUUGGUGAACCAGCGGAGGGAUCAUUACAGGAUCGAAGGACUCCUAUAACCCCUGUGAACUUACUACAAAUACGUUGCUUCGGCGGGUGCCCCGGGUCUCCCGGGGCGUUCAGCCCGCCGGCAGCCUUCAAAUUCUGUUUCUUUGCGUUGGCACCUCGAGUAUACAAAAAUAAGUUAAAACUUUCAACAACGGAUCUCUUGGUUCU
rnacentral:misc_RNA from 1 species